UACGUAGGGGGGCAAGCGUUGUCCGGAUUUAUUGGGCGUAAAGAGCGUGUAGGCGGCUUUACAGGUCCGUUGUGAAAACUCGAGGCUCAACCUCGAGACGCCGGUGGAAACCGUAAAGCUAGAGUCCGGAAGAGGAGAGUGGAAUUCCUGGUGUAGCGGUGAAAUGCGCAGAUAUCAGGAAGAACACCCGUGGCGAAGGCGGCUCUCUGGGACGGUACUGACGCUGAGGUGCGAAAAGCGUGGGGAGCAAACAGG
rnacentral:rRNA from 1 species